rnacentral:misc_RNA from 1 species
UACGUAGGGUGCAAGCGUUAAUCGGAAUUACUGGGCGUAAAGCGUGCGCAGGCGGUUGUGCAAGACAGAUGUGAAAUCCCCGGGCUUAACCUGGGAACUGCAUUUGUGACUGCGCGGCUAGAGUGUGUCGGAGGGGGGUGGAAUUCCACGUGUAGCAGUGAAAUGCGUAGAGAUGUGGAGGAAUACCGAUGGCGAAGGCAGCCCCCUGGGAUAGCACCGACGCUCAUGCACGAAAGCGUGGGGAGCAAACAGG